ACAGCAUUCCAGAAGUCUUUAGGGGCACAGAAUCUGAAGAGAUUACUCAGGCCAAAAGUUUCCUUGAUGAAAUUGAGAAACAUUUUGCUAAAAACGAUAAGAUUGAGAUGACAUCACUUCUGACUUCUUUGAUGUCUAUGAAGUAUAAAGGUUAAGGAAACGUAAGGGAGUACAUUAUGGAGAUGUUCCAUACUGCUUCAAGACUUAAGGCACUUAAGAUCGAGCUUUCUGAGGAAUUGCUUGUUCUUACGAUUUUGGUAUCGCUUCCUGCACAGUUUAACCAAUUUAAAAUUAGUUAUAACUGUCAAAAAGAGAAAUAGACCCUAAAUGAGCUCAUUUCUCAUUGUGUGCAAGAGGAAGAAAGGUUGAAGCGUGAUAAGUCUGAAAGUGCUCAUUUGGCCAAUUCCCCUAAGGACAAGGGCAAGAGAAAAAAAUAUCAGAAUGAAGCUGCUAAGGGUCCAGCCCAAAAGAAACAACAAGCUACAGAGAGUUGUUUUUUUGUAAUAAGUCUGAACACGUAAAGAAAGAUUGUACCAAAUAUCAUGCUUGGUGUGUAAAGAAAGGUAUAAUUCUUAAUUUGGUCUGUUCUGAGAUUAAUUUAGCUUCAAUACCUAGAAACACUUGGUGGAUAGAUUUCGGUGCUACUACUUACAUAAGUGUUUCUAUGCAGGGUUGCCUGAGUUACCGAAAGCCAAGUGAUGGUGAAAGGCACAUCUUUGUGGGCGAUGGAAAAUCGGUAGAAGUGGAAGCAAUUGGGCAUUUUAGGUUUUUAUUAGGAACUGGUUUUUAUUUGAAUUUAAAAGACACUUUUAUUGUACCGUCAUUUAGACGGAAUUUAGUUUCUGUUUCUUCGUUGGACAAAUUUAGAUAGUAUUGUUCAUUCGGAAACAAUCAAUUUAAUUUGCCUUUAAAUUCAAAUGUUAUUGGAACUAGUUAUUUAAAUACUUAUGACAACCUUUAUUUGCUAGAAACAGUUGUAUCCUAUAAUGAAACCUUGCAUGUGGAAUCACGGGGUAUUAAACGCCAAUUAAAUAAGGAAAAUUCAGCAUCAUUAUGUCAUAAGCGCUUAGGUCAUAUCUCAAAAGUUAGAAUUGAACGCCUUGUGUCUGAUGGUAUUUUAAAGUCCCUUGACUUCACAAACUUUGAUGUUUGUGUCGAUUGCAUCAAGGGAAAACAGACCAAAACCAAGAGAUUGGGUGCCAAUAGAUCUUCAGACGUCUUAGAAUUAAUUCAUACAGAUAUUUGUGGGCCAUUCCCUACGGCAUCAUGGAAUGGUUAACAAUAUUUCAUAACAUUUAUAGAUGAUUACUCACGUUAUGGGUACCUAUAUCUCAUUCAUGAAAAAUCUUAGUCUUUGGACGUGUUCAAAACUUGUAAAGCUGAAGUUGAGAAUCAACUCAACAAAAGGAUUAAAAACGUUAGAUCUGAUCGUGGUGGUGAGUACUACGGUAGAUAUGAUGGCUCAAGUAAACAAUGUCCAGGACCAUUUGCGAAAUUCCUAGAGGAAUGUGGUAUUGUCCCACAGUACACCAUGCCAGGAUCACCUAGUAUAAAUGGUGUAGCUGAAAGACGAAACAGAACUCUUAAGGAUAUGGUAAGUAGCAUGAUUGCUCAUUCUACCUUACCUGAGUCCCUCUGGGGAGAAGCAUUAAAGACAACAGCUUACAUUCUGAAUAGAGUACCCAAUAAAGCAGUUGCAAAAACACCUUAUGAGCUAUGGACAGGUCAAAAGCCUAGUCUAAAGCACUUUCACAUUUAGGGAUGUCCAGUUGAGGCAAGGCCUUAUAGGCCUCAUGAAAAGAAAUUGGACUCCAAAAUAAGCAGCUACUUUAUUAGCUAUUCUGAGCGAUCUAGAGGCUAUAAGUUUUACGAUCCCAUAAUAUAAAAUAUUUUUGAGACAGGAACUACAUUUUUUGAGGAUGUUAAGUUUGGGGGAAGAAAUAAGGUUAGAGACAUUACUUUUAAUGAGGAAUUGGAUUCUAACUCAAUUUUAUAUAAUUAUAUAAACAAACAAAACAUAGAUAUGAAUCAAUUUCUAUAUAUAUAUAUAUUUAUUUUUAUAUAUUUUAAAUGUCAUAUGGAUUAAAAUAAUAAUAAUCACAUGCCUUGCAAAUACACAGGAAUUGAAUCGUAAUAUUUUUAAAUAAAACUUAAAAACGUAGGUAUCAAAUAAUAUUACCCAAUUUUAUUAUAAAAAUCACCCAAUUUUUUGCUCUGAUACCAAAAUAAAAUUAGAGACAUUACUUUUGAGGAGGAAUUGGAUUCUAACUCAAUUCCUACUAUCACUUUUGAUGAUGUUCAGGUUCUUAUACCUAUCAUUGAUCAAGAAAUGAAUCUAUAACCUCUACAAGAUAAUGUUGAACAACUCCCCAUUCAAAAUGAGGUAAUUGUUCCAGAAGAACAAACUCAACAACCUCAAGAACAAGUGCCAUUAAGAAGGUCCACAAAAGAAAAGAGAAAUGCUAUUCCAGAUGAUUAUAUUGUAUGUCUCCAAGAACAUGAGGAUGAUAAUGGAAUGAUAGAAGAUGAUCCAAUCAACUUUCAUCAGGCCAUGAAAAGUUCUAAUUCUCAAAAGUGGAUUGAUGCCAUGAAAGAUGAGUAUAAAUCUAUGCAAGAUAAUAAAGUUUGGGAACUUGUCUCAUUACCUAAAGGUGAAAAACCAAUUGGUUGUAAAUGGAUAUUUAAAACCAAGAGGGAUGCAAAUAGUAAUGUGGAAAGGUAUAAGGCACAUCUUGUAGCUAAAGGAUAUACUCAGAAACAAGGCAUUAAUUUUACAAAGACUUAUCCAGUUUCAUCGAAAGAUUCAUUUAGGAUAAUCAUGGCACUUGUUACUCAUUUUGAUCUUGAGUUACAUUAGAUGGAUGUUAAGACUGCGUUUCUUAAUGGCGACAUUGAAGAACCAAUUUAUAUGGUGCAAUUAGAAAAUUUUGAGUCGAAAGACUCAAAGAAUAUGGUUUGCAAAUUGACAAAAUCCAUCUAUGGACUCAAACAAGCUUCCCGUCAAUGGUACCACAAGUUUUAUCAAUUAAUUAUUUCGUUCGGUUUUGAAAUGAAUAUUGUUGAUGAUUGUGUGUAUCACAAAUUCAAUGGGAGUAAGUACAUAUUUCUGGUUCUAUAUGUUGAUGACAUUUUGCUUACCACUAAUGAUAUAGGCUUACUGCACGAAACCAAGAUAUUUUUAUCCAAGCAUUUUGAGAUGAAAGAUUUUGGGGACGCCUCUUUUGUUUUAGGAAUUCAGAUACAUCGAGAUCGAUCUCAAGGUAUUCUUGGAUUAUCACAAAAGAGCUAUAUCGAUAAAGUACUCAAAAGGUUUGACAUGCAGAAUUGUAGACCAGGUGACACCCCUGUCGCUAAAGGAGACAAAUUUAGUCUUACUCAAUUCCCUAAAAGUAACCUUGAAAUUCAUGAAAUGCAAAAGAUUCCCUAUGCAUCAGCUGUUGGGAGUUUAAUGUAUGCUCAAGUAUGUACGUGUCCGGACAUUGCAUACAUCGUUGGGAUGUUAGGCAGAUAUUUAAGCAACCCUGGUAUAGACCAUUGGACAGCAGCCAAAAGGGUUAUGAGAUAUCUUCAGAGAACAAAAGAUUACAUGUUUACUUAUAAGAGAUCAAAUCUUUUGGAGGUCAUAGGGUAUUCUGAUUCUGAUUUCGCUGGAUGCCAAGAUAGUAGGAAAUCUACAUCAGGCUAUAUUUACCUGUUAGUCGGAGGAGCUAUAUCUUGGAAAAGUGUUAAAGAGACACUUGUAGCUUCGUCCACUAUGGCAGCAGAGUUUGUAGCAUGCAAUGAGGCAUCAAAACAUGGAAUAUGGUUGCGGAACUUUGUCACAGGGCUGCACAUUUCGGAGAAUGUAAAAAGACCACUCAAAUUAUUUUGUAACAUUAAGUCAGCAGUGCUGUAUUCCAAUAACAACAGGAGUUCAUCUAAGUCAAAGCAUAUUGACAUAAAGUUCCUAGUUGUAAAAGAAAGAGUGCAAAAUGGUCAAAUCUCAAUAGAGCACAUUGGGACAAACUCCAUGAUAGCGGAUCCGCUCACAAAAGGUUUACCACCCAAGGUCUUUCAUGAGCACACUGCUCACAUGGGUGUUACAUUGUUUGAUGAUAUCAUGAUUUAGUGGGAGUUUAUAUUUCAGACAUGUAUUUAGUUAUUUUCUGAUCAGAAAUAAAGUAUUCAGUUUAUUCACUCAGUUUAUUAUUUUGAAAUUGACCUCACUUAAGUUUAAGGAAGGACUAGUUGGAAAUAGACAUGUUUAGAUCAUAUUGCAUGCAAUUUCCAUGCUACACAUCCAUACUUGAUCUAUGUCAUUUGGUUGUGUUAAUAUACGUGAUCAUGGAUGGAUUUAGUUACAAUAUUUGUAACGAAAGUCGCCUUGGUUCUAUGUUAACAUAAUUAAUGGACGAGAUUGUACGGAAUGCCUUUUGGAUAUGAUAGUAAAAAUUUUGAGCUCAUAAGGUUAUAUAAUGACAUGUAAUUAUAAAGUAAUUAGUAUAUAUAUGUGGUCCAAGUGGGAGAUUGUUGGAAAAUUUGGACAUCACAUAUAUAAUAAGGAUAAUUACAUAUUAUUUACUAUCAUGAUAGGUUAGCCCCAAAUUAAAAGUGAUCUAAUUUGGUUAGAAUUUUAUUGGGCUUUUAAUUAUUAAAUAAAUAAAGUGUGGGUCAAAUAUGUGUAGAUACUCUUCUAAUCAAAUUCUAAUUAAUGAUGGGCUAAUUAGAAUUUGAUUAGAACUAAUAUGCUAAGGUUAUAAAUAUUAGGGUUAUGGUCCCCAAAUUAUACACAAGAUAUCUUUCCUAAUAUCCCAUAAUUAGGAAAGAAAGAGCAAAUAUUCUCUGAGUUUCUUGUGUGCUAAUUUGGAAGAUCAAAUCCCCAAGUUCCAGAAAGUUUCAAGGAAUCCAUGGAUUCAGAUACGUUUCGCUUCCAUAUCUAGUUUUGUUCUUGAUUUAUUCUUAAUGAUUUGACAUGACAGAUCCUGAUUUAUUAAGUUAUAUUGUAGAUUUAUUUUAUAAAUUCUAACAAGUGAUUCGAUAUGACGAGGCUCUGAUACCACUUGUUAGAAUUUAUAAAAUAAAUCUACAAUAUAACUUAAUAAACCAGGAUCUGUCAUGUCUAAUUAUUAAGAAUAAAUCAAGAACAAAACUAGAUGCGAAAGCGUACCUGAAUCCAUGGAUUCCUUGAAACUUUCUAGAACUUGGGGAUUUGAUCUUCUAAAUUCGCACACAAGAAACUCAGAGAAUAUCUACUCUUUCUUUCCUAAUGAUGGGAUACUAGAAAAGAUAUCUUGUGUAUAAUUUGGGGACGAUAACCCUAAUAUUUAUAACCUUAGCAUAUUAGUUCUAUCAAAUUCUAAUUAGCCCAUCAUUAAUUAGAAUUUGAUUAGAAGAGUAUCUACAAAUAUUUGACCAAUACUUUAUUUAUUUAAUAAUUAAAAGCCCAAUAAAAUUCUAACCAAUUAGAUCACUUUUAAUUUGAGCUAACAUAUCAUGAUAGUAAAUAAUAUGUAAUUAUCCUUAUUAUAUAUGUGACGUCCAAAUUUUCCAACAUGAAGAACUAGCAAAUUUGAAUAUAUCCAAUGAUGAAGAGGAUACUAUAGAAGGGCAACAAAUCGAAGAAGAAGAGGAUGAGGAAUAUGAAUUAUGCUUGGUUGGGAGGGUAUUAACUAAAAGUGUGGUACACAUUCCUUCCUUGAGACAGGUGCUAGCAGAAGUAUGGCAUCCAGUGGGCGGAAUUUCUAUUACAAACUUAGGGGAAAAAAGAACUUUUUUUAGGUUUUAUCAUUAGAUCAAUAUUAAAAGGGUUAUCAAGGGUACACCGUGGUUCUUCAACAGUCACCUAAUUUUGUUUCAAUGAUUGGAGAAGGGGGAACGCUCGCUGCAAGUACCAUUAUAUUUUACAGAGUUGUGGGUACAAAUACAUUAUCUACCGGGAGGUUUCAUGUCUGAAGGAAUGGCACGUCAACUUGGUAAUUUUAUUAAAAAAUUCAUGGAGUCUGAUGUGGCUUUAGUAACUAGGGGAAUUAAAAAAUUUAUGAGGGUAAGAGUUAUGUUGGAUGUUCGAAAACCCCUAAAAAGAAAGAAAAUGAUAGCUAUUUGUCAAAAUGAAACAACAUACGCUAUGUUUCAAUACAAAAAGCUUUCAUUAUUUUGCUAUCUAUGUGGCAAAUUGAAGCAUGGAGAAGGUUUCUGUCCAGUUAGAUUAACGUUAGAAUCAUAAGAAGUUACUUUUGGAUGGGAUCUAUCAAUAGAGUGUUGAUAAGAAUAAGACAAAUGGAAGAUUACAAGUGGCUAAGAGAAGAUAGAUCGGAUUCCAAAUCGGUCGUUGGGGGAAAAUUAAGAGAAAAUGGAGAGAGAUUGGCUUGAGUUAAUCCAAGCCUUAGCCCACAUUAAUGACAACACUAGGUUAGAAGGGAUAACUUAUGGAGGAGAGGAUGUGAGUUAUAUGGAGCUUGGAUCAAACCUAGAGGAAAUUCCUAUUAAAAAAGAUAAAGGUUGUCUUCAAUGAGUUCUAUUGUUUCUCAUUUAGUGGAUUCAAAAAAUUCUCCUAUUAUAUCAGCAGCUGCUGAAAAGUAGACCGACCGAUCACAAUGAAACUACUAAGUUUGAAUGCCCAUGGAUUAGGGCACCCACGGGAAGUAAGGCAUCUCAAAAACAAAGUGAGACAUAUUCAACCCUAGGUUUGGUUUCUCAUGGAAACCAAAGUAAGUGUAAGAAAGAUGGAACGAAUUUGAAGAAAGUGUGGUUUGCAAAAUGGCAUUGAUGCGGAUGCCACUAAAUGGGGACUAUAGUUGGGUUGGAAGCAAGAGUGUAACAUUCAAUUACGAAGCUUUUCAUCGUCACAUAUUGAUGUUAAAAUAACAGAAGUGGAAGGUGCAAAAGUAUGGAGAUUUACGAGAUUUUAUGGAUCACUAGAGGAACCCUGCAGGAGGGAUUGUUGGAAUAUUCUAUGACAUUUAAAUAAUACCAACAACCUACCCUGGUUAGUGGUAGGAGACUUUGAUGAAAUUCUUUUCCUUUUUAAAAGAAAGGAGGGUGUCAACGAGAAGUGAAUCAAAUGUUGGCAUUCUGCCAAGUCUUAGACGAUUGUAAUCUCAUAGAUAUAGGAUUUUUGGGUUAGUGGUUUACAUGGGAGAAAGGGAAACUUCAGAAUAAUAACAUAUGUGAAAGGCAUGAUAAAUGAGUGUGAACCUAGAAUGGUGAACUAUAUUUCCAAAUUUUUGUGUAAGACACCUUACACAUUCUAAGUCGUAUCACUGCCCAAUUCUUGUUAAUACAUUGGAUAGUAGUUCAAAGCAGAAGGGACAAUAACAACCAAAAUUCAGAUUCAAUGCGUAUUUGGUAAUUGAAGAAGGCCUUGAAAGUGAAAUACAAAAGUAGUGGGAAGAAGACAAAAGGGAGGUUCCUACUAAACUAGAAGCAAUAGGAGCAAAACUAAACAAUUGGGCUCAGGCAAAUCAGUUGGGAAGGCAACGUCACGCAACCUAUUGAAGUGUGAGAUUAGAAGAAUUAAAUACGAAUACUCCAGAUGAAAAAAAUUUGGCAGAAUUAACAAAGAUAAAGCUUGCACUAAACUUAAAAGCAUACAAUGAGGAGUUAUUUUGGGAACAAAUUGGUUACGUUUUGGACAUAGGAACACAUCAUAUUUCCAUAACAUUGUGUCGGCUAAAAAGAAAAAAAAACACAAUUCAGGAGCUUAAGAACGAUAGUGGGGAAUAGGUUCAAGAUGAGAAAAAUAUGGCAAACAUUGCCACCGACUAUUUCAAAUAGUUGUUUAUGGCUUCUUCUAGAAGAGAUAGCACUCGAGCGUUAAUAGAAAUUCAAUCAUGCAUUAAUGAAGUCAAUAAGGUAGAGUUGACAAUGGAGUUUAAGAAUAAGGAGAUUGGGAGGAAGUUAAAAUAAUGUCGCCAAUGAAAGCUUCUGGAGAUGACGGUUUCCUAGCUUCAUUUCAUUAGAGAUAUUUGAGUAUCUUAGGAAAUGAGAUCAACCAUAAAAAUAUCGUGUUUAUCCCAAAGACUAAUUCACCAACAAGCAUGACUUAUUUCAGACCAAUAAUCCUUUGCAAUGUGCUAUAUAGAAUACUAUCCACGGUUAUUGUCAACAGGUUUAGAAUAGUAUUGGACAAAUGUAUUGAUGAAGCUCAAGUAGCGUUUGUGCCUAGAAGACAAAUAAAGAUAAUAUUCUUGUAGUUUAUGAGAUAUUACAUUCUUUCAAGAGGAGGAAAUAUGGAUCUCAAGGUUUUUUUUCUUUAAAAUUAGAUAUGAGCAAAGCCUAUGAUAGAGUAGAGUAGUGCUUUUUGCAAAAAAUAAUUACUAAAAUGGGCUUUUGCAAUUAAUGGAUUGAAUUAGUUAUGACAUGUGUGGCUACGACUUGGGGAUCCAUUAAGUCUGUAUUUAUUUCUAUUAUGUGCUGAAGGUUUUUCAAGUCUAUUUAGGGAAGCUAAGUGGGAGAGCUUGAUAAAAAGGGCAAAGGUUGGUAGAAGUAGUCCACAUAUCCAAUAACCCAAAAAAGUACCUUGGUUUGCCAACAAUGGUGGGUAGAAAAAAGAAAGAUGCACUCACUAACUUAAAGGAAAGAUUUGUUAAGUGAAUAGAGAGCUAGAACACAAGGCAACUGUUAAUGGGAGGGAAAGAGGUAUUCAUCAAAUCAAUUUUAUAGGCAAUUCCUAUUUAUGCAAUGCAUAACUUCUUAUUACCAAGUUCUUUAUGCCGUGAAUUAAAUAGCAUGAUUGCAAAAUUUUGGUGGUGUAAUGCAAACACGAAGAAGGCUAUACAUUGGUGCCAAAGGAGAAUGGUCUCUCAACCUAAAGGGAAAGGUAGGUUAAGAUUUAAAGAUUUGUCCAAAUUUAAUAUAGUUUUGCUCAUGAAGCAAGGGUGGAGAUUAAUGUCGAAGCCCGAUUGUUUGUUAGCAAAGGUUAUGAAAGAAAAAUACUAUUCGAACACAGAUUUCAUGAAUGCAAGUAUAAGCUCUUACCUAUCAUAUACCUGGUGUAGUAUAUAGGCAUCUAGAAGGUUUUUGGAAUAGGGUUGUGGUUGGCGUGUGGGAAAUGGUGCAAACAUCAACAUAUGGACUGACAGUUGGUUGUUAGAGCCUGGACAAGAAAGAAUUCAAAGACAUGAAAUUAAUGCAAGAUAUACAAGGGUCGCUGAUUUAAUUGAAACAUGUUCGCCUUUAUGGAAAGAAGAAAUUAUUGAAAAUCUAUUUUAUGAGGAAACCGCACGAAGGAUACUAGAUAUACUUUUCUCAAGCUGUGAUCAGAAUGACCAUUUGGUCUGGAAAGGUGACAAUUUAGGGAUUUACUCAGUCAAAAAUGGGUACAGGUGGCUCAAAGCAACAGAUACAACUGCCAAUGAUGAUCCAAACAAGUUACAAGAAUUACUCUUUACAAAAAUAUAGAGCCUAAGUCUAGCUAGAAAAAUAAAAAUUACAUGUUGGAAAAUAAUUAGCAAUUACAUCCCCACACUAUUUAAUUUACAACAAAGAAGAAUUGGAGUACAAAACUUAUGCCUAGUUUGUCGAAGUGAUGGAGAAUUUAUUAAGCAAACCUUUCGUGAGUGUCCUUUCACGGAACAAGUCCUGCAACGUAUGGAAGUAACAUAGUCGACCAACAAUGAGAAUCAAAAUUGGAAAAUUUGGUUAGAUGCCGAGUUAUUAAUAGGAAAUACACUAUUACUAAGAAAAAUUGUAGUUAUAUUCUGGGCCUUAUGGUACAAUCGUAAUAGGGUAUAUCAUAAUGGAACACGACAAAAUGUUUUUGGAGUAGUUUCUUUCAUAAAUGCUUACAUAUUAGAGAUUAAUAGUAUGGGUAUUAUAUCGAAAGGUAUGCAAGAGGAUUAGGAGACUGUUUGCCAACCAAUGGAAGGAGAUAAUGUCAAAAUUAAUGUUGAUGCAUGUUGUAAUAAUCACAUAAACAAUUCAGUUUCAGGGAUUAUUCUAAGAAACAAUGGAAGUCAUAUAAUGGCAACAAGAACUUAUCCAAAUAUACAUGUGAUAGAUGCGACAAUUGUAGAAGUAUGAGCAUGUGUUCAGGCUCUAAUCUUUGCUGAAGAGCUAGGAAUUCAGAAAAUAGUGGUUGAAAGGGAUUUAUUAACUGUAAAAAAAAGUGGUGGCUACAAAGGAAGAUGAACUAGUCAAUGCAGCUUUGAUCAAAGAAAGUAAAGAGAGAAUAAAUAAUUUUGAAUCAGUAAAGUUUAGAUUCGUACCUCGUUCAGCGAAUUGAGUAGCACAUGAAAUGGCACAAGAAGGAAAACUCUUCGACUCUUCGAUGUUCUAGAUUGAGGAAGCACUAAAAAAAUUGGAAAGUAUAGCAGAUCUGGACAGAGGGAGAAUGGGCAGAGAAGAAUGUUCGAGAAUAUUUGAGUAAAAUGACAAAAAUGUGAGGUUAAGUGUGUUAAAAUCAAAAAAAUAAGGAUGGAAGGAUCAGAGAAUGGUUAUUAGAAACAGUCUUACCAAAAAGAAGGUAGAUCCACUCCUGUUGCAAUCACUGAUGAAGAGACGAAUAUGAGAUAGGAAGAAGGUAGACGAUUUGGUUACCGACUGGAUUUCUUUGCUUUCGUUUUGGAUUAGGAUUUUUAGGGUUUAAAAUUUUUUCUUUUAGGGGUAACUUUAGUGGAGAUUUAAUUUUUCUUUAUUAAGUUAGGGGACACCGACCUUAAUGGCAAUUUGUUUUGAGACAGCUGGUAAUAAGUGGGUUUGUAACCCUUUUUUUCUUCCAAUCAAUGUAUUAGUCAAAUUUUCCUUC
rnacentral:lncRNA from 1 species